rnacentral:rRNA from 1 species
AGUGAACGCUGGCGGCAGGCCUAACACAUGCAAGUCGAGCGGCAGCGGGUUCCCGCGAGGGGAUGCCGGCGAGCGGCGGACGGGUGAGGAACACAUCGGAAUCUGCCUGGUUGUGGGGAUAACGUAGGGAAACGUUACGCUAAUACCGCAUGCGACCCUCGAGUCGACGGACUGGGGGUGGAAAGUAGAGGGACCGUUCGGCCGUCACGCGACCAGAUGAGCCGAUGUCGGAUUAGC